AAACUUUAUACUCCCCAACCGAUGUCAGCUGGCAGUGGGGACUGCAUGCGCAGCAAGUGCCACUCUCAUAUAAUGCUUUUCAAUCGGGUUUUGGGUUCCAUGGUUACUGCACCCAGACCACUACAAAGAGCUUAAGUGGUCUGGGUGCCUGUAGUGUCCCUUUAAGGUAAUGCUAAUGUGUGUUGGAAAAUUUUGCAUGUUAUGUAUGAAUGUGGUGGUAUGUAUAUGUUGGCUUUCGGUGGUGUAAAUAGUGUUACUGUCUAUGGUAUUGUGGCA